rnacentral:rRNA from 1 species
GGAGUAGAACCACUGGAUUGCCUCAGUAACGGCGAGUGAAGCGGCAACAGCUCAAAUUUGAAAUCUGGCCUCCCGGUCCGAGUUGUAAUUUGUAGAGGAAGCCUCGGGUGCGAUGCCGGUCUAAGUUCCUUGGAACAGGACGUCAUGGAGGGUGAGAAUCCCGUCUGUGACCGGUGGUCAACCCCUUGUGAGGCCCCUUCGACGAGUCGAGUUGUUUGGGAAUGCAGCUCCUAAUGGGUGGUAAAUUUCAUCUAAAGCUAAAUACCGGCCAAAAACCGAUAGCGCACAAGUAAAGUGAUCGAAAGAAGAAAAACACUUUGGAAAGAAAAUCAAACAGUACGUGAAAUUGUUGAAAGGGAAGCGCUGGCAACCAGACUUGCUGGCGGGCGAUCCCCCGUCCUUCUGGGCGGGUCCACUUGCCCGUCAUCGGGCCAGCAUCGGUUCGGGCGGUCGGAUACAGGCCCCGGGAAUGUGACUCCCCCCGGGGAGUGUUAUAGCCCGGGGCGCAAUGCAACCCCCCGGGACCGAGGACCCCGCUUCUGCUAGGAUGCUGGCGUAAUGGUUGUCAGCGACCCGUCUUGAAACACGGACCAAGGAGUCUAACAUCUAUGCGAGUGUUUGGGUGCCAAACCCAUGCUGCGUAAUGAAAGUGAACGGAGGUGGGAACCCCCCCCCCGUGGACCACCCCCCCAACCUGACGUGUUCUCAUGGAAUGAAUUUAAAUAUAAGCUGAUGGGAUGGGACCCAUAAUGAGUUAUACCUUGACUAGAAUGAAGCCAAACCAAACUCAGCUCUAGGCGCGCCUCGCAUCUGACUUGAGAUCGAUCCUCUCGUUUGUGUAGAGAGAGAGACAAAAAAUAACCAUCUAGUAUCUGACUGUGUUCCACCAACUUUCCCGAAAGGAACUC